rnacentral:rRNA from 1 species
UGAGGAAUAUUGGUCAAUGGGUGCAAGCCUGAACCAGCCAUCCCGCGUGAAGGACGACUGCCCUAUGGGUUGUAAACUUCUUUUGUAUAGGGAUAAACCUACCCUCGUGAGGGUAGCUGAAGGUACUAUACGAAUAAGCACCGGCUAACUCCGUGCCAGCAGCCGCGGUAAUACGGAGGGUGCAAGCGUUAUCCGGAUUUAUUGGGUUUAAAGGGUCCGUAGGCGGACUUAUAAGUCAGUGGUGAAAGCCUGUCGCUUAACGAUAGAACUGCCAUUGAUACUGUAAGUCUUGAGUAUAUUUGAGGUAGCUGGAAUAAGUAGUGUAGCGGUGAAAUGCAUAGAUAUUACUUAGAACACCAAUUGCGAAGGCAGGUUACCAAGAUAUAACUGACGCUGAGGGGCGAAAGCGUGGGGAGCGAACAGGAUUAGAUACCCUGGUAGUCCACGCCGUAAACGAUGCUAACUCGUUUUUGGGCUUUAGGGUUCAGAGACCAAGCGAAAGUGAUAAGUUAGCCACCUGGGGAGUACGCUCGCAAGAGUGAAACUCAAAUGAAUUGACGGGGUCAUAG